GUUCCAUAGGCGACAUCCGAUAAAAUUGGAACAAUACAGAAAAGAUUAGCAUGACCCAUGUGCAAGGAUGACAUGCACAAAUUCAAUAAUGGUCCCAAAAAAU